GACGAACGCUGGCGGCGUGCCUAACACAUGCAAGUCGAACGGAAAGGCCAGGCUUUUGUGGGGUGCUCGAGUGGCGAACGCGUGAGUAAAACGUGAGUAUCCUGCCCUUGACUUUGGGAUAACUUCAGGAAACUGGGGCUCAUACCGGAUAGGAGCUCCUGCUGCAUGGUGGGCGAUGGAAAGUUUCGGCGGUUGGGGAUGGACUCGCGGCUUAUCAGCUUGUUGGUGGGGUAGGGGCUUACCAAGGCUUUGACGGGUAGCCGGCCUGAGAGGGUGACCGGCCACAUUAGGACUACGGGACGGACCAGUAGCCUACGGGAGGCAACAGUGGGAAACAUUGCACAGUGGGGCGAAGCCUGAUACAGCGACCCUCGGUGCGGAAUGACGGCCUUCUGGGUGUAAACAGCUUUGGCCUGUGACGAAGCGGUAGUGACGGUAACUGGUCAAGAAGCCCCGGCUAACUACGUG
rnacentral:rRNA from 1 species